GACAUCCUUCUAAGGAAACAAGAAUAGUCCUCAGGUUUCUGCCUUCUGCAUAACUGGCUUACCAAGGAAAAAGACGUCACAUGUCAAAGUCUACUGCCCUUAUGAGUGAGAGUGACGAGACUGUGAGUGUUGUUGGUGCCAGGCAGGAGCCGUCCAUCUGGGAGCAGAACAGCUACUACUAUCACUGAGAUAAGUAUCUGUUUUGCUGAGGGUUCUGCUCAUGGCCCACCUGGCUACAGGUAGACACACCCUGUUAGGUGGAGUGGGUUUGUAAGAAAAGGUUCCUGACUAGCUGUGGUUUUAAGGGAGACACGGUCCUCAUUUUCAGGGGCUGAUGAUUUCUCUGGCCAGGAUCGGUGUGUCCUCGGCAGGAGAAGGUUAGAUCCAUGAGGGAUGACUCCAGGUGAGGAAUUGUCCAGGCGCAGCAGCUGAAGGAGAAAGUGGCAGACGCGGACCUGAGGAGCCUGGACAUCCUUCUAAGCAGACAUGAAUGGUCCUCAGAUUUCUGCCUUCCGCACAACUGGCUGUGAGUAAGCGGUCAGUGCUUGGAAUCCCUCAUCUGUACUGGUUCCGGUUUUGUUCAGAGGCUCUGAAUUUCUUCAUUGGACACGGUGCUCUGUGGGAUUCAGAUGAGGCAAAGGCACAAGUCUCCUGUGCAGAUGCUGGGUCUAGUACCAAGUGGAGAGUCAGAGUCCACUCCGUACAUGCCAUGGAAAGGGAGUGAGAGCUGGGAGAUUCUAAGCAUUGUUGAUGCCAGGGAAGAGCCAUCCAGCUGGGAGUGGAGCAAGGACCACUGUCAGUGAGAUAAGUGUCUUGUUAGGUGAAGGCUCAGCUGUGGUUAUGAGGGAGACAAGGUUCCUAUUUUCAGGGGCUGCUCAGUCCU